UGGGGAAUAUUGGACAAUGGGCGCAAGCCUGAUCCAGCAAUGCCGCGUGUGUGAAGAAGGCCUUCGGGUUGUAAAGCACUUUUAUCAGGAGCGAAAUACGAUGGGCUAAUACCCCGUCGGGCUGACGGUACCUGAGGAAUAAGCACCGGCUAACUUCGUGCCAGCAGCCGCGGUAAUACGAAGGGUGCAAGCGUUAAUCGGAAUUACUGGGCGUAAAGCGUGCGUAGGCGGUGAUUUAAGUCUGCUGUGAAAUCCCCGGGCUCAACCUGGGAAUGGCAGUGGAUACUGGAUCGCUAGAGUGUGAUAGAGGAUGGUGGAAUUCCCGGUGUAGCGGUGAAAUGCGUAGAGAGCGGGAGGAACAUCAGUGGCGAAGGCGGCCAUCUGGAUCAACACUGACGCUGAGGCACGAAAGCGUGGGGAGCAAACAGG
rnacentral:rRNA from 1 species